GCAGUGAACUUAAGCCCCAGUAAACGGCGGCCGUAACUAUAACGGUCCUAAGGUAGCGAAAUUCCUUGUCGGGUAAGUUCCGACCCGCACGAAAGGCGUAACGAUUUGGGCACUGUCUCAACAACAGACUCGGUGAAAUUGUAAUUCCGGUGAAGAUGCCGGAUACCUGCGACAGGACGGAAAGACCCCAUGGAGCUUUACUGUAGCUUGACAUUGGGUCUUGGUACUACAUGUACAGGAUAGGUGGGAGGCUUUGAAACCAGGACGCCAGUUUUGGCGGAGCCAUCCUUGGGAUACCACCCUUGUAGUACUGGGACUCUAACCAUAGGCCAUGAAUCUGGUCUUGGGACACUGUCAGGUGGGCAGUUUGACUGGGGCGGUCGCCUCCCAAAAGGUAACGGAGGCGCUCAAAGGUUCUCUCAGUACGGUCGGAAAUCGUACGUAGAGUGUAAAGGCAAAAGAGAGCUUGAUUGCAAGACAUACAGGUCGAGCAAGGAUGAAAAUCGGACUUAGUGAUCCGGUGGUUCUGCGUGGAAGGGCCAUCGCUCAACGGAUAAAAGCUACCCUGGGGAUAACAGGCUUAUCUCCCCCAAGAGUCCACAUCGACGGGGAGGUUUGGCACCUCGAUGUCGGCUCAUCACAUCCUGGGGCUGUAGUAGGUCCCAAGGGUUGGGCUGUUCGCCCAUUAAAGUGGUACGCGAGCUGGGUUCAGAACGUCGUGAGACAGUUCGGUCCCUAUCCGUCGCAGGCGUAGGAAAUUUGAGAAGACCUGUCCUUAGUACGAGAGGACCGGGAUGGACGUACCUCUGGUGUACCAGUUGUCCUGCCAAGGGCAUGGCUGGGUA
rnacentral:rRNA from 1 species